rfam:Penicillium solitum strain IBT 29525 PENSOL_contig009, whole genome shotgun sequence.
GGUCCUAUGGUUUAGCGGUUAUGACACUGGUUUUUGAAAUGAUAUGAUCUGAAAAUUACCAGUAACCCCGGUUCGAACCCGGGUAGGACCU